AAAAUUUGUUAUUAAUUUGAUUUAUAUGUAAAUUUUUGUGUGAAAUUUUAAUAAUUUUAAUAAUUAUUAAAUUAAUUAUAUUCGCAGUAAUUAGUAUUAUUUUUUAAAGAAAUUUAGAAAUAGCAAUAUUAAAAAGUAUUGGUUAAAUUGGUGCCAGCAGCCGCGGUUACACUAAUAAUACAAAUAAAUUUUUUUAGAAAUAGUUAAAUUGUUUUUUAAUAAAAUAAAAUAAAAUUUAUUAAGUGAAAUUUUAAAUUUUAAAUAUUUUUUAAUAAAGAAAUUGAAGCUAAGUAAAUUUGAAAAA
rnacentral:rRNA from 1 species